CCUACGGGAGGCAGCAGUGGGGAAUAUUGGACAAUGGGCGGAAGCCUGAUCCAGCAACGCCGCGUGAGGGAUGACGGCCUUCGGGUUGUAAACCUCUUUCAGCACAGACGAAGCGCAAGUGACGGUAUGUGCAGAAGAAGGACCGGCCAACUACGUGCCAGCAGCCGCGGUAAUACGUAGGGUCCGAGCGUUGUCCGGAAUUAUUGGGCGUAAAGGGCUCGUAGGCGGUUUGUCGCGUCGGGAGUGAAAACACCGGGCUUAACUCGGUGCUUGCUUUCGAUACGGGCAGACUAGAGGCAUUCAGGGGAGAACGGAAUUCCUGGUGUAGCGGUGAAAUGCGCAGAUAUCAGGAGGAACACCGGUGGCGAAGGCGGUUCUCUGGGAAUGUCCUGACGCUGAGGAGCGAAAGUGUGGGGAGCGAACAGGAUUAGAUACCCUGGUAGUCCACACCGUAAACGUUGGGCGCUAGGUGUGGGAUCCAUUCCACGGGUUCCGUGCCGCAGCUAACGCAUUAAGCGCCCCGCCUGGGGAGUACGGCCGCAAGGCUAAAACUCAAAGGAAUUGACGG
rnacentral:rRNA from 1 species